GCUGGCUCAUGUCAGUAACUCAGCAGUGGCUCAGUGUCCCCAGGUGUCCCAGGGAAGAGGGAAUCGGGAAGUGUAGGCAACUGGGAGAGAAUAGAUGAGAAUAGAAGUGCAUCCUCAAGAGAACAGUGGCUGCACCAGCCAGGAAGCAUCUGAGACCACCUGAUUCUCUGGAAUAACAGCUGCUGAGACCUUAAACUACAAAUCAACAUUUUCAAAGUAACCCUGGCCACAUACUGGGACUCAUGGGGAUACCGGCACUUCUGAGCAUCCACCUUUCCAAGAAGAAUAACCUAAGAUUAUACCAGACAUCAAGGAUCAGACUAACAGCUGGUGUCAGGUGUUUUUAGCAGGCCUCAUCUAACAU